UACGAAGGGUGCAAACGUUGCUCGGAAUUAUUGGGCGUAAAGCGCACGUAGGCGGCUUAGCAAGUCCCAUGUGAAAUCCCACGGCUUAACCGUGGAAGUGCAUGGGAAACUGCUGAGCUUGAGUACUUAAGAGGAUCGCGGAAUUCCCGGUGUAGAGGUGAAAUUCGUAGAUAUCAGGAGGAACACCUGUGGCGAAAGCGGCGCACUGGACCACAACUGACGCUGAGGCGCGAAAGCUAGGGGAGCAAACAGG
rnacentral:rRNA from 1 species